AGAGAUCAUGGCUCAGAUUGAACGCUGGCGGCAUGCCUUACACAUGCAAGUCGAACGGCAGCGCGGGGCAACCUGGCGGCGAGUGGCGAACGGGUGAGUAAUAUAUCGGAACGUACCCUGGAGUGGGGGAUAACGUAGCGAAAGUUACGCUAAUACCGCAUACGAUCUAAGGAUGAAAGUGGGGGAUCGCAAGACCUCAUGCUCCUGGAGCGGCCGAUAUCUGAUUAGCUAGUUGGUGGGGUAAAGGCCUACCAAGGCAUCGAUCAGUAGCUGGUCUGAGAGGACGACCAGCCACACUGGAACUGAGACACGGUCCAGACUCCUACGGGAGGCAGCAGUGGGGAAUUUUGGACAAUGGGCGCAAGCCUGAUCCAGCAAUGCCGCGUGAGUGAAGAAGGCCUUCGGGUUGUAAAGCUCUUUUGUCAGGGAAGAAACGGUGAGGGCUAAUAUCCCUUGCUAAUGACGGUACCUGAAGAAUAAGCACCGGCUAACUACGUGCCAGCAGCCGCGGUAAUACGUAGGGUGCAAGCGUUAAUCGGAAUUACUGGGCGUAAAGCGUGCGCAGGCGGUUUUGUAAGUCUGUCGUGAAAUCCCCGGGCUCAACCUGGGAAUUGCGAUGGAGACUGCAAGGCUAGAAUCUGGCAGAGGGGGGUAGAAUUCCACGUGUAGCAGUGAAAUGCGUAGAGAUGUGGAGGAACACCGAUGGCGAAGGCAGCCCCCUGGGUCAAGAUUGACGCUCAUGCACGAAAGCGUGGGGAGCAAACAGGAUUAGAUACCCUGGUAGUCCACGCCCUAAACGAUGUCUACUAGUUGUCGGGUUUAAUUAACUUG
rnacentral:rRNA from 1 species